GACGAACGCUGGCGGCGUGCUUAACACAUGCAAGUCGAACGAAGUGGCGAACGGGUGAGUAACGCGUAAUCAACCUGCCCUUCAGAGGGGGACAACAGUUGGAAACGACUGCUAAUACCGCAUACUGAAGGAGGUGAUUGCGUCUGAUGUGCUAGUUGGAGGGGUAACGGCCCACCAGGGCGAUGAUCAGUAGCCGGUCUGAGUGGAUGAACGGACACAUUGGGACUGAGACACGGCCAAGACUCCUACGGGAGGCAGCAGUGGGGAAUCUGCCGGAAUGGACGAAAGUCGGACGGAGCAACGCCGCGUGAGUGAGGACGGCCUUCGGGUUGUAAAGCUCUGUUAAUCGGGACGCGGUACCGGAAUAGAAAGCCACGGCUAACUACGUGCCAGCCGCCGCGGUAAUAC
rnacentral:rRNA from 1 species